AGAGUUUGAUCAUGGCUCAGAAUGAACGUUGGCGGCGUGGAUUAGGCAUGCAAGCCGAGCGAGAACCCGCAAGGGGGACAGCGGCGAACGGGGUAGGACAACGUAGGUAACGUACCCUCGGGGCGAGGACAGCCACGGGAAACUGUGGGUAAUACUCGAUAAUGUUCCCAAUCUUGAUUGGAGGGGAACCAAUGCGUGUGAUUCCACCUGAGGAGCGGCUUACGCAGUAUCAGCUUGUUGGUGAGGUAACGGCUCACCAAGGCUAUGACGCUUAGGGGAUGUGAGAGCAUGAUCCCCACCACUGGCACUGAGACACUGGCCAGACACCUACGGGUGGCUGCAGUCGAGAAUCUUCGGCAAUGGACGCAAGUCUGACCGAGCGACGCCGCGUGCGGGAUGAAGGCCCUCGGGUUGUAAACCGCUGUCAGAGGGGAUGAAGUGUACGGGAGUUAUCUCCUGUAUUUGACAGAGCCUCAGAGGAAGCACGGGCUAAGUUCGUGCCAGCAGCCGCGGUAAUACGAACUGUGCGAACGUUAUUCGGAAUCACUGGGCUUAAAGGGUGCGUAGGCGGCUGCCUAAGUCAGGUGUGAAAUCUCUCGGCUCAACCGGGAAACUGCGCUUGAUACUGGGCGGCUCGAGUGAGGUAGGGGUGUGUGGAACUUCCGGUGGAGCGGUGAAAUGUGUAGAUAUCGGAAGGAACGCCAGCAGCGAAAGCGGCACACUGGGCCUUUUCUGACGCUGAGGCACGAAAGCCAGGGGAGCGAACGGGAUUAGAUACCCUAGUAGUCC
rnacentral:rRNA from 1 species